AGGAUAAACGCUGGCGGCGUGCAUGAGACAUGCAAGUCAAACGGACGAUCAGGGCUUGCUCUGGUCGUUAGUGGCGGACGGCUGAGUAACGCGUGGGUGACCUGCCCCGAAGUGGGGAAUAACUGCCCGAAAGGGUGGCUAAUACCGCAUGUGGUGGUGCGUUCAUUCGCACCAGUAAAGCCGCAAGGCGCUUCGGGAGGGGCCUGCGUCCGAUUAGCUCGUUGGGGGGGUAAUGGCCCACCAAGGCGACGACGGGUAGCUGGU
rnacentral:rRNA from 1 species